rnacentral:rRNA from 1 species
GAUGAACGCUGGCGGCGUGCCUAAUACAUGCAAGUCGAGCGAACAGACGAGGAGCUUGCUCCUCUGACGUUAGCGGCGGACGGGUGAGUAACACGUGGAUAACCUACCUAUAAGACUGGGAUAACUUCGGGAAACCGGAGCUAAUACCGGAUAAUAUAUUGAACCGCAUGGUUCAAUAGUGAAAGACGGUUUUGCUGUCACUUCUAGAUGGAUCUGCGCCGCAUUAGCUAGUUGGUAAGGUAACGGCUUAUCAAGGCGACGAUGCGUAGCCGACCUGAGAGAGUGGUCGGCCACACUGGAGCUGAAACACGGUCCAGACUCCUACGGGAGGCAGCAGUAUGGAAUCUUCCGCAAUAGGCGAAAGCCUGACGGAGCAACGCCGCGUGAGUGAUGAAGGUCUUCGGAUCGUAAAACUCUGUUAUUAGGGAAGAACAAAUGUGUAAGUAACUAUGCACGUCUUGACGGUACCUAAUCAGAAAGCCACGGCUAACUACGUG